rnacentral:rRNA from 1 species
UAAUACGUAGGGGGCGAGCGUUGUCCGAAGUUACUGGGCGUAAAGCGCGCGUAGGCGGUCCCUUAAGUCUGAGGUGAAAGGUUCGGCGCUCAACGUGAACAGUGCCUUGGAGACUGGGGGACUUGAGUGUGGGAGGGGGCGGUGGAAUUCCUGGUGUAGCGGUGAAAUGCGUAGAUAUCAGGAGGAACACCGAUGGCGAAGGCAGCCGCCUGGCCUGACACUGACGCUGAGGUGCGAAAGCGUGGGGAGCGAACGGGAUUAGAUACCCCGGUAGUCCACGCCGUAAACGAUGAGUGCUAGGUGUCCGGGGUAUCGACCCCCCGGGUGCCGCCGCCAACGCAGUAAGCACUCCGCCUGGGGAGUACGGCCGCAAGGUUG